rnacentral:rRNA from 1 species
CCCUUAGAUGUCCUGGGCCGCACGCGCGCUACACUGAGUGUCUGAGAUACGAGUCUGCCUGGUCCGGCAAGGUCUAGGUAAUCGCUAAAAGACACAUCAUGCUUGGGAUAGAUUAUUGCAAAUAUUAAUCUUGAACGAGGAAUUCCUAGUAAGCGCAAGUCAACAGCUUGCGUUGAUUACGUCCCUGCCCUUUGUACACACCGCCCGUUGCUACUACUGAUUGGAUGUUUAAGCGAGGUUCUCGAACUGCUAGCGACUUAGCUUCGGUGAGGUCGCAGUGUGGGAAGUGAACCUAGCUUUGGUGUCUAGAGGAAGUAAAAGUCGUAACA